GUAGGUGGCAAGCGUUGUCCGGAAUUAUUGGGCGUAAAGCGCGCGCAGGCGGGGUCCUUUAAGUCUGAUGUGAAAGCCCACGGGCUCAACCGUGGAGGGUCAUUGGAAACUGGGGGACUUGAGUACAGAAGAGGAAAGCGGAAUUCCAAGUGUAGCGGUGAAAUGCGUAGAGAUUUGGAGGAACACCAGUGGCGAAGGCGGCCUUCUGGUCUGUAACUGACGCUGAGGCGCGAAAGCGUGGGGAGCAAACAGGAUUAGAUACCCUGGUAGUCCACGCCGUAAACGAUGAGUGCUAAGUGUUAGGGGGUUUCCGCCCCUUAGUGCUGCAGCUAACGCAUUAAGCACUCCGCCUGGGGAGUACGGCCGCAAAGGCUG
rnacentral:rRNA from 1 species